rnacentral:lncRNA from 1 species
AGAGCAUCCCUAGGGAAAUCUGCAGAGGUGGAAAACAUUUUUCAGAAUUACUGCAAUAUACUACCUUUCAUUGAAGAUACUUACAGUGAUGGAAAUGUGUUAAUUAAGUUUCCCUCUGAAUCUUUGGGAUUGGAAUUGUAAAGUACCAUCAGAGAAGGACCCUUCAUCCUACAGCACUGCCCUCCUGUCAUGAGAUCCCACUGGGCACUUGCUCCUGCAGGUCUGGCCUCACUCAGGGAUGGCCUCUUCAUCUAACAAGAAGAAUAUGAAAGAUUCUUGAUCAAGAAAAGGGUCCUCAUAAACCUCCUGCUAUUUGGGUUGCCAAACCACGCUUGUGACUACCCAGAGCACAGAUUCUGAUGUCAGAAGCCUGGAUUUAAUUUAGCUCUCAUCCUAUCUAGCUUUGUGACCUUGGGUGCAGAAGGCAAAUUUUCAACAGAAUAUAUGGAGAUUUUGGCUUCCCAGCCACACAGCACCAGAAGGAACCAGACUGGGUAGAAGAAAUGUCUUCC